rnacentral:rRNA from 1 species
GGGGUGCUCGAGUGGCGAACGGGUGAGUAACACGUGAGUAACCUGCCCUUGACUUUGGGAUAACUUCAGGAAACUGGGGCUAAUACCGGAUAGGAGCUCCUGCUGCAUGGUGGGGGUUGGAAAGUUUCGGCGGUUGGGGAUGGACUCGCGGCUUAUCAGCUUGUUGGUGGGGUAGUGGCUUACCAAGGCGGCGACGGGUAGCCGGCCUGAGAGGGUGGACGGCCACAUUGGGACUGAGAUACGGCCCAG